rnacentral:rRNA from 1 species
CAGUCGCCACGGUAAUACAGAGGGUGCGAGCGUUAAUCGGAUUUACUGGGCGUAAAGCGUGCGUAGGCGGCUUCUUAAGUCGGAUGUGAAAUCCCUGAGCUUAACUUAGGAAUUGCAUUCGAUACUGGGAAGCUAGAGUAUGGGAGAGGAUGGUAGAAUUCCAGGUGUAGCGGUGAAAUGCGUAGAGAUCUGGAGGAAUACCGAUGGCGAAGGCAGCCAUGUGGCCUAAUACUGACGCUGAGGUACGAAAGCAUGGGGAGCAAACAGGAUUAGAUACCCCAGUAGUCCCUGUCUCUUAUAC